rnacentral:rRNA from 1 species
AGUGAACGCUGGCGGUAGGCCUAACACAUGCAAGUCGAACGGCAGCACAGUAAGAGCUUGCUCUUACGGGUGGCGAGUGGCGGACGGGUGAGGAAUACAUCGGAAUCUACUUUUUCGUGGGGGAUAACGUAGGGAAACUUACGCUAAUACCGCAUACGACCUACGGGUGAAAGCAGGGGAUCUUCGGACCUUGCGCGAUUGAAUGAGCCGAUGUCGGAUUAGCUGGUUGGCGGGGUAAAGGCCCACCAAGGCGACGAUCCGUAGCUGGUCUGAGAGGAUGAUCAGCCACACUGGAACUGAGACACGGUCCAGACUCCUACGGGAGGCAGCAGUGGGGAAUGUUGGACAAUGGGCGCAAGCCUGAUCCAGCCAUACCGCGUGGGUGAAGAAGGCCUUCGGGUUGUAAAGCCCUUUUGUUGGGAAAGAAAAGCAGCAGGUUAAUACCCCGCUGUUCUGACGGUACCCAAAGAAUAAGCACCGGCUAACUUCGUG